GGGGUUAAAAUUAAUAAAUUAUGGGGUUAAUAAAAGAAAUUUUAAUAUUGAAUAUAUUUAAUGGGGGUUAAAGUAUUUUAAUAGAAAAAAUUUGAAAUUUUAUAGUUAAUUAGUAUUGUAAAAGAAAUUUGAAAUAAUUUGAAAAUAAAGUUUUUAUAAAGUAAAUUUAAUUUAUUGUAUCUUGUGUAUCAGAGUUUAUUAAUUAAAUUUUAUUUAAUUAAAUUUCUCGAAUUUAAAAGAGUUAAUUAAUUAUAAAAGUUAUUGUUUCAUAAAUAUUUUAAAUAAUUAAUUAGUAAUGAAAUGUUAAUCGUUUUUAAAUAUAUCUAGUUUUUUUAGAAAAAAAUUUAAUUUUUAAUUAAUUUUAUAAAUUAAUUAAUUAAUUAAUUAAUUUAUAAAAUUAAUUUAAUAUUUUAGGGGAUAAGCUUUAAAUUAAAUUUUUAUAAUUAAUUUAAUUUAUUUUGAAAAUUUUAUGAUUUAUAUUGUUAAUAAAAUUUAAUUUAUUAUAAAUAAUUUCAAUUAAAAUUUAAAAAUUUAAAAUUUAAAUUUAAUUUUUUAUAAAAAAUUAAAUUUAAAUUAAAAUGUAUUUAGAUAUAAUGAUAAAAUUAGUAUAUAUUUAUGUAUAAUUAAAAUUUAUUAUAUGAUAAUUAUUUAAAAGGAAUUCGACAAAUAGUUAUAUUUACCUGUUUAACAAAAACAUGUCUUUUUGAAUAAUAAUUUAAAGUCUAAUCUGCCCACUGAUAUUAUAUUAAAGGGCUGCAGUAUAUUGACUGUACAAAGGUAGCAUAAUCAUUAGUCUCUUAAUUGGUGACUUGUAUGAAAGAUUGGAUAAAAUAUAAAUUGUCUCUUAAGUAUAAAAUUGAAUUUAAUUUUUUAAUUAAAAAGUUAAAAUAAAUUAAAAAGACGAGAAGACCCUAUAGAGUUUUAUAUUUUUAUAGAUUAAAGUUAUAAUUUAAUUUAAUAAUUUAAAUUUAUAAAAAUAUUUUAUUGGGGUGAUAAAAAAAUUUAUUUAACUUUUUUAUAUUAUAAACAUAAAUAAUUGAAUUUUUGAUCCAAUUAUAUUGAUUAUUAGAAAAAAUUACCUUAGGGAUAACAGCGUAAUUUUUUUUUUUAGUUCAAAUAAGAAAAAGAGUUUGCGACCUCGAUGUUGGAUUAAGAUAAAAUUUAAGUGCAAAAGUUUAAAAUUUUUGAUCUGUUCGAUCAUUAAAAUCUUACAUGAUCUGAGUUCAAACCGGUGUAAGCCAGGUUGGUUUCUAUCUUUUAAUAUUUUUAAUAUUUUAGUACGAAAGGAUUGAAUAUUAUAAUUAAAUUAAUUUAUUUGAAUAUUAUUAAGCUUAUAUUAUAUACAUAUAUUUAUUUAAAGUGUAUAUAU
rnacentral:rRNA from 1 species